CAAGACACAUCCCUUCCCUGAAAGCAUAUUUCCGUCUGGGUCUGGUUCUCAGAUUGAGAUAUUUCCCCCUGUGCUUCUUAGGUGGCCCCACCACAGAAGGCAGCUGUCAUAUCAAAGGACGGUCCGGUGAAAACAGGCACGCCAGAUCAGGAGACUGUCUGCCUCUGUUUCCUUCCACUGGCCCUGAGCCCAGGACUCAGUUUACCCUUCUCUCUGGGAGCUGAAGACAAAGGAUCUCCACCAUUCACGGAUUGCUCAUUUUGUGCAUGACACAAGCCAGAUCUAGUCACUCUGUCCACCCUCAAGUCUUUCUUCACUGGUCAUAAGCUGUGACUCUUCACUUCUACCAAAGCCCAGCAGAAGGAAGGUACGAGGUGUGAGCACAGGACAGAGAGGAGGAGAACAUCAUCGCCCGAGGAAUUUACUUUCAAGAUGGUUGACUGGGGCCCUGGUCACACCUGGAGGAAUAUUUUUUAAAAGAGAAUAAAGGCAAGGUGAGGGGAAAUGAGGACAGAGACCCCCUUCAUCUAUAAGAACUCAGAGUAGGUCUAAGGACAGAAGAAGCUCAUCGACUCCUGCACUUGUGGUGUUAGUACGGAGACGGCUUUGACUCAUCUCCGCCCAAACCUUCAGGUUUCCUGAAGGCUCACGUCCCAAGACAUGGCGCCCCAUCCAGGUAAUGCAACUUGCCACAAAGAAAGAACGGUCUCUCUUCCCACCCUCGGAGAAUGGAAUAGUGAUUUAUUCAGUCAUCCAAGUCAGAAAUGGAGAGGUUUUCUCAGCACUUCGCUUCUUCUCACUGCCCACAUCUCAUCAGUGAUGGGGCCUUGUCCUUUCUAGCUCCUUAAGAUGUCCUGCUCUCCCCUCCCCACCAUGCGGCCACAUCUCAGUCACCCCCAUCUUAACUCAUUGUGUCGCCACUGGACCAGUGACAUUUUCAUCUCACAUUAUCUUCAAGGCAACGGAAGAGCUUUGGAAGGUUUUGACUGGUAUCAAAAGUGAGACUGCGUAUGUAAACUAAGGUAAUGCUACACUAGUAUGUCAUGAAACUCAAGAUACCAGAUUUCUGCCCAACUCAAAGGGAGAAGACAAGAAAUGUGA